rnacentral:rRNA from 1 species
GACGAACGCUGGCGGCGUGCUUAACACAUGCAAGUCGAGCGGUAAGGCCCUUUCGGGGGUACACGAGCGGCGAACGGGUGAGUAACACGUGGGUGACCUGCCCUCAGCUCUGGGAUAAGCCUGGGAAACCGGGUCUAAUACUGGAUAUGACUCCAUGACGCAUGUUGUGGGGUGGAAAGCCUUGUGCGGCUGAGGAUGGGCCCGCGGCCUAUCAGCUUGUUGGUGGGGNGAUGGCCUACCAAGGCGACGACGGGUAGCCGGCCUGAGAGGGCGACCGGCCACACUGGGACUGAGACACGGCCCAGACUCCUACGGGAGGCAGCAGGUGGGGAAUCUUGCGCAAUGGGCGAAAGCCUGACGCAGCGACGCCGCGUGAGGGAUGAC